rnacentral:rRNA from 1 species
UACGUAGGGCGCAAGCGUUGUCCGGAAUUAUUGGGCGUAAAGAGCUCGUAGGCGGUCUGUCGCGUCGGCUGUGAAAACCCGAGGCUCAACCUCGGGCCUGCAGUCGAUACGGGCAGACUAGAGUGCGGUAGGGGAGACUGGAAUUCCUGGUGUAGCGGUGAAAUGCGCAGAUAUCAGGAGGAACACCGGUGGCGAAGGCGGGUCUCUGGGCCGUAACUGACGCUGAGGAGCGAAAGCGUGGGGAGCGAACAGG